UAAGACGAACCGUGCGAACGUUAUUCGGAAUCACUGGGCUUAAAGCGCGUGUAGGCGGAUCGGCACGUCUGUCGCUGAAAUCCCCCGGCUCAACCGGGGAACGGGCGCGGAUACGGCCGGUCUGGCGGGGCGUAGGGGGACCUGGAACUUCCGGUGGAGCGGUGAAAUGCGUUGAGAUCGGAAGGAACGCCCGUGGCGAAAGCGAGGUCCUGGACGCCUACUGACGCUGAGACGCGAAAGCCAGGGGAGCGAACGGGAUUAGAUACCCCGGUAGUCCUGGC
rnacentral:rRNA from 1 species